rnacentral:rRNA from 1 species
CUCCAGACUCCUACGGGAGGCAGCAGUGGGGAAUAUUGCGCAAUGGGCGAAAGCCUGACGCAGCGACGCCGCGUGAGGGAUGAAGGUCUUCGGAUCGUAAACCUCUGUCAGCAGGGAAGAACGGUCACUGUGCUAAUCAGCAGUGAAUUGACGGUACCUGCAAAGGAAGCACCGGCUAAAUACGUGCCAGCAGCCGCGGUAAUACGUAUGGUGCAAGCGUUAUCCGGAAUGACUGGGCGUAAAGGGAGCGUAGACGGUUGUACAAGUCUGAUGUGAAAGCCCACGGCUCAACUGUGGGAGUGCAUUGGAAACUGUAGAACUAGAGUAUCGGAGAGGCAAGUGGAAUUCCUAGUGUAGCGGUGAAAUGCGUAGAUAUCAGGAGGAACACCGGUGGCGAAGGCGGCCUGCUGGACUGCAACUGACGUUGAGGCCCGAAAGCGUGGGGAGCAAACAGGAUUAGAUACCCCGGUAAC